rnacentral:rRNA from 1 species
UCGGGAAUUUUGGGCAAUGGGCGAAAGCCUGACCCAGCAACGCCGCGUGAAGGAUGAAGUAUUUCGGUAUGUAAACUUCGAAAGAAUAGGAAGAAUAAAUGACGGUACUAUUUAUAAGGUCCGGCUAACUACGUGCCAGCAGCCGCGGUAAUACGUAGGGUGCAAGCGUUAAUCGGAAUUACUGGGCGUAAAGCGUGCGCAGGCGGUUAUGCAAGACAGAUGUGAAAUCCCCGGGCUCAACCUGGGAACUGCAUUUGUGACUGUAUAGCUAGAGUACGGUAGAGGGGGAUGGAAUUCCGCGUGUAGCAGUGAAAUGCGUAGAUAUGCGGAGGAACACCGAUGGCGAAGGCAAUCCCCUGGACCUGUACUGACGCUCAUGCACGAAAGCGUGGGGAGCAAACGGGAUUAGAUACCCCUGUAGUCCCUGAGCGGGCUGGCAAGGCGCAU